GAUGAAGAACGUAGCGAAAUGCGAUACGUAGUGUGAAUUGCAGAAUUCAGUGAAUCAUCGAAUCUUUGAACGCACAUUGCACCUCUCGGUAUUCCGGAGGUAUGCCUGUUCGAGCGUCAUUUGUACCCUCAAGCUCUGCUUGGUGUUGGGUGUUUGUUCCGCCUCUGUGUGUGAACUCGCCUCAAAACAAUUGGCAGCCGGCGUACUUGUUUCGGAGCGCAGCACAUUUUGCGAUCCAGAUCAACGUACAGCGGCAUCCAAGAAGCCUUAUUUAACGCUCUUGACCUCGGAUCAGGUAGGGAUACCCGCUGAACUUAAGCAUAUCAAUAAGCGGAGGA
rnacentral:misc_RNA from 1 species